GUUCUAAACUCACAAUCAACAGAAUCUUAUCAAAGAUGGAAAAACCCCUAAUAACCUCCUAGGCAGUUGAAGGUAGCUUUGGUUGAAAGUGUUGCCACAACCCUGAAGCCAAGAGUAACCACCACGAUCUUGUCAAUGACUAUUCAUGCCAGUGCAAAUACAUUCACAAGAAACGAGACAUCUCUGGAAGCAAGAAAAGGAGACUGAAAGUCAGGGCAGGGUGUGAAGGUUGACGCUAACACGGUGCUGGAAUCUAGAGGUAAAGGGAGGGAGGAGUUGGUGACACCACCUCAGGACCAGCUGGUUGCACCCUGGUUUUGAAUGAGAGCAGAGGGACCCGAGGAAAGGUCUGGGCUAGUGGCUGGACCUGAGAGCCUUGGCCAAAGCCAGAAUCUCCACACUGCUACACUCUCCAUGAAAGACAGAUUGGAAAGCUCUACUGAACAGCCCUCUAAAAGUGACAGAGACCAAUACGAUCACGAUCAAAUGAAGAGCUGUGGAGCCAAGUCCCUCACUUAAGACUCGGGGAUCAAUUCAGGGAAGAGGGAGCUGUGGAAGAGGAGGUAGAAAUAUUUUAAGAGCCAGAGGGAGUUUGCUGUGAGAUGAUGGAUGCCGUGUGAAUUCUUUCCAAGUGCCCACCUGCUGCUUGAUGUCCCCACACGUACACGUUUCCCUUAUCCUGCUAAUUGAUCAUCUUACACCAACCAACACCCAUCUACCCACAUCGUCCUUACUCUAUGGAGUUACCGUCCUGCCAUGACAGUGAUGCUCCACGGGGUCUGGACUUCAACCUCUAUCCUUCGGCACCUUCUAUCUCAUCUUGCUCUGCUCACCAAAUUCAGAAAUAAUUAGUUGACCAAUGGGCGAGGAAUAGGAAAAUACCAUGAAAAUAUUGAAAUCCAUGGAAAGCAAUCCAUGUUACACCUUUCUCUUCAAAGACUACACAAAAGAGAAAUAAAACGACAAGAACC